ACGGCGCAGGCUGUCCAGGGAGAAGGACCAGCUCUCUGUCCACGCUGGUACCCAGUGGAAAGACUCCUUCCUAAAAGCAGGUGGUCCCUGGGACCAGGCCCCACCUCCUCCGGCAGCUCCAGGACCCACCCGUGACACCGCCAUCUUCCAGCCCCCGCUGCUGUGUACAGAACAUGUGGCUCCCCAACACCUGCCACCUGCCUCUGCUUUCAGGGAACCUCAUCUCCGCCACCCUCUCAUCUGGGAGAGGAGUGCUGACUCCUGGUUUCUGGACACACCGCAUGAUUUUGGGGUUUCCACCAGGCCCUGGAAUCCCUGCCAGGUGGGGAAACUGAGGCUUGGCAAAGCAGGGUGGCGGACCAGACCCCCAUCGUCUGCAAAGGAGCCACUGAGGGCGGCCUUGAGCUCAAAGCCACACCAGGUGGAGUCUCGCUCUGUUGCCCAG